UCUUGUCGCUGAUUUAGGCUUAGUCUUGCUCUGAGAAGCGCGCGCCCCGACCAAACGAUCACGCCCUGCUGCCUGCGCUGCGAUGUUGUCACCAAUACACGGCAUCAUUUACCGACUUUAAACGACGAUUCCCGAUGAUUGCCGAAGGAUAUUGAAGCGAGCAAUGCGAUUGGUCAACACCUAUUCCCGAUUUCUGCAACAUCGAUCGAUCCUGACGUGAAUGGAUCUGUUUAUUCCUGCCUCCACCCCUACAUCGACUCCAACCUGCGAUCACCUUGUGCUGGUGAAUGGAGGCACGAUGGAUUGUUCCAGCUUGCUGUCAUAUCUGAAGCGGACCUGAAAAGUCGCUUACGGGUGCGUGAUGAACUACAUCCCCAGAAGUUCCUACUCAUGGCGACUCAAGUCCCGGAGACGUUCCCGAAUGGCCGGAAAGCUGCUGACGGCGGCCCUUUCGUUUUUAAAAGGACCUGCGUCAUAUGAAUGUUUCAGCUGCCAUAAAUACCCCGAAGGACACUAGCGCAGCUCUGAUGUGUGCACACUAGUGCAUUAUGAAUAUCACCCAAUGGCUAGUCAUUCAUCUUUAACCCGAAAAGAGCCUGGCGUUCACAAAAGUGAUCUGUUUGUGUGGUCUCUCUGGAUGGCUUCUGAGGUGACCUUCUCCAACCCCGCGGGCUCCUGCCUGUCGGCAGAGGCUCUAUGGGCGCUGGACUAGGCAUAACGCAGAGAUGUGAGGAAGAGUUUACAAUACUCAGUAAGUAGGUGGGGUGGGGGACUUAUCGCCCUCCCCCAGAGGGCCUGGCAAGCCCAGGAACGUGAGCUUAUGUUAAACUUUUGUGCCCCUGCAGUUGUGCCCAUCACACCUGCUUGCAGGGGGCACUGAUGGGAGGGGGCGAGCACGCCACACUGACAGCCGCUCCCUCUGAUCACAGUCUCAGUUCGUGGACCUGUCUGUCACCGGGCUUUUGGUCUGGCUGAGCAGGCCCUUAAAGGGGCGGGCAAAAAUAGACACUGCAGCAUAAAUCUGUGGCAAAAAAAAAUGUUUUAAUCCUGAUGGCAGUGUUUGUUUUCUGCACUUAUUUCAUUCCCCGUGUUAAAAUAA